UACGGAGGGAGCUAGCGUUGUUCGGAAUUACUGGGCGUAAAGCGCACGUAGGCGGCUAUUCAAGUCAGAGGUGAAAGCCCGGGGCUCAACCCCGGAACUGCCUUUGAAACUAGGUAGCUAGAAUCUUGGAGAGGUCAGUGGAAUUCCGAGUGUAGAGGUGAAAUUCGUAGAUAUUCGGAAGAACACCAGUGGCGAAGGCGGCUGACUGGACAUGUAUUGACGCUGAGGUGCGAAAGCGUGGGGAGCAAACAGG
rnacentral:rRNA from 1 species